AUCCUUUUGUAGUUCGUAAGCGUGAUGAUUGGGUGGUUCACGCUCUUGUGUGAGAUGUGCCUCCCACAAACCUGAGACAACUUACAGUAAGCCCCACGCUGACU
ensembl:snoRNA small nucleolar RNA U13